rnacentral:rRNA from 1 species
GUAGGUGGCAAGCGUUGUCCGGAAUUAUUGGGCGUAAAGCGCGCGCAGGCGGUCCUUUAAGUCUGAUGUGAAAGCCCACGGCUCAACCGGGGAGGGUCAUUGGAAACUGGGGGACUUGAGUACAGAAGAGGAAAGCGGAAUUCCAAGUGUAGCGGUGAAAUGCGUAGAGAUUUGGAGGAACACCAGUGGCGAAGGCGGCUUUCUGGUCUGUAACUGACGCUGAGGCGCGAAAGCGUGGGGAGCAAACAGGAUUAGAUACCCUGGUAGUCCACGCCGUAAACGAUGAGUGCUAAGUGUUAGGGGGUUUCCCGCCCCCUUAGUGCUGCAGCUAACGCAUUAAGCACUCCGCCUGGGGAGUACGGCCGCAAGGCUG